rnacentral:snRNA from 1 species
AUACAUUGAGCAGUUUAAGCAGGUUUU